GAUCAAGAGUCACAUGCUCUACUGAAUGAGCCAGCCAGGCACCCCCUCUCAGAUUAGAUAUUAACUGGUACCUAAACUGAUAAGCUUGUUGUAAGUUUUGAACAGCACAGGUUCACUUUCAGGAGAUUUUUUACAGUGCAGCACUAUAAAUGUAUUUUCUCCUCCUUAUGAUUGUCUUAAUAAUAUUUUCUUUUCUCUAGCUUCCUUUAUUGUAAAAUUACAGUACAAUACACUACAAAAAGAUGUUAAUCGACUGUUUUAUGGUAUCAGUAAGGCUUCUGGGUCAAUAGUUGGCUAUUAGUAGUCAAGUUUUUGGGAAGUCAAAAGUUCUAUGUAAAUUUUUGACUAUGCAGGGUGUUUGACAUCCCUAACCCUGGCACUGCUCAAGGGUCAACUGUAAUUUAAUACAAGUACAGUUGCUCAGGAAAAGCAUUCUUUUUGUAAUUUUCUGGCAAUAUACCAAAUCCAUCCGCUAACUUAAUUAUAUCCAGAUCACUAGGCCUAUUUUUGCUUGACUGUAAAAAACAAAGUCUCCAAUGAGCAUCUAUUGUAUACUUUGUAUCUGGGAAAAAUGGCUAUGAACGUUAGCCCUAAAGAGGCAAAAAAUACUUCCUCCUGUAUCCCAACUAUAUGACACACACAAGAUGUUUCUUAAAUCUACAAAAUGUUUUAUAAAAUGUACAUUAUGGACCAAAGUAUCAUUAAUCUCUCUCCUUAUGUCCCUUAGGAGGUAGUACUAUUUUUUAGUAUAUGGAUUAUUAUUUUUUCUUAAAAAAUUUAAAAGUUGAGGGGGCUGCCGCCGGAGCUGCUGCAUCCAGGACUGGGAGCUGCUGCCAUCGCAGCCAUGGUGUCAGUGGGUUGGGGGGACCUGUGGACACCUCCCAUGAGGACAUGAUUCACAAUGCCCAGACGGACUAUUAUGGCACCCGCCUAGCAACCUGUUCAUCAGACAGCUCUGCCAAAAUCUUCAAUGUGUGAAAUGGAGGACAGAUCCUCAUUGCCGACCUCAGGGGUCAUGAGGGUCCUGUGUGGCAAGUGGCCUGGGCCCACCCCAUGUAUGGCAACAUCCUGGCAUCCUGCUUCUAUGACUGGAAAGUCAUUACCUGGAAGGAGGAGAAUGGCACCCGGGAGAAGACGCACGAGCACAUAGGACACAACUCCUCAGUAAACUCUGUGUGCUGGGCCCCCCAUGACUAUGGCCUAAUACUGGCCUGUGGGAGCUUGGAUGGGGCCAUCUUCCUGCUGACACACAACGGACAGGGCCAAUGGGAAGUGAAGAAGAUCAACAAUGCUCACACUAUUGGCUGCAAUGCUGUCAGUUGGGCCCCUGCUGUUGUACCUGGAAGCCUCAUAGACCAGCCAUCGGGGCAGAAGCCCAACUACAUCAAGAAGUUUGCAUUGGGCGUCUGUGACAACCUCAUCAAACUGUGGAAGGAGGAGGAGGACGGCCAGUGGAAGGAGGAACAGAAGCUAGAAGCACACAGUGACCGGGUUCGAGAUGUGGCCUGGGCCCCCUCCAUCGGCCUGCCCACCAGCACCAUCGCCAGUUGCUCCCAAGGCGGUUGUGUGUUCAUCUGGACUUGUGAUGACACCUCAGGCAAUACGUGGUCACCCAAACUAUUGCACAAGUUCAAUGAUGUUGUGUGGCAUGUGAGCUGGUCCAUCACAGCCAACAUCCUGGCUGUCUCAGGCGGAGACAGUAAGGUGACCCUGUGGAAGGAGUCCGUUGAUGGGCAGUGGGUGUGCAUCAGUGAUGUCAACAAGGGCCAGGGUUCUGUGUCUGCUUCUGUCACAAAGGGCCAGCAGAACGAGCAGUGACAAGACAGGCAAGGCCCAGCUCCCCACCUGCUGACUCCAGGACUGCCCUUUCCUGGACCAACUGACCAAAUAGCUGGGAGAAACAGCUUCAACACGAUUACUUUCCCAGGAAUAGUACAAAUGCAACCAGACUGAUCAUCUGUCAUAACAUGAUUUGAUAUGGUUUAUAAUUUACUGUCCUGAUGAAAGCAUUCAUGUUAUGAGGAAAAAGCUACAAAUGAUCUUCAAAUCUAUUAUUUUAAAAUAUUUUUGGCCAUUUUUAUGUACCUUUUGGAUUCAGGCAUUAUUUGGGGGGUUUUGUUUCCAAAAAAAUAAAUUCAUAUUGCUUAUAAAAAAAAAUUUAAAAGUUGAAAGGUUGCUUAUGCCCUUGCUUUAUCUUAAUUCAAAUGAGCAUAUAUAUUGCAUUUUUAAAUACACAGGCUUAUAUGGAAACUCAGACACACUGUUUUCCCAAUAGUCUAACUACAUAAGGUUUUACUAUAUUACCAUUUACGAUUUUAGCUCAAUAUUAUCUGUAAAAUCAGAAUAAUAUAUCAGAUGAUCACCAAUUCCUUAAAACGCAUUUAAAAAGGAUUCUAAAAUAAAAUUAUUUUCUAUAUUUCCAUAAUCCUUUAAUACCUUCAUUUCAGUGAGGUCUGGACUCAGCUUUUCAAAUAUUUAACAAAAAGUAUGCCACAAUGACCAAAAUAUCUUUUAUUCAAUGGAAAACCAGUCAACCAGUAAAGCUCCAAUACCCACAAACCUUCAAAUGUGGGGCUUGAUUUAGACAACCUCUUGUGGCUGUGAACUGCUAAGACUGCUGUUAGAGGUCCCUGAUUUAACUUUUCCACUUAAUAAAAAUAGCAGCAACACAUUGUAUUUGUAAUACUUUACAGAUUUCAGAAUGCUGGAAUCUUAAAGAAGCCUGGUGUAUUAGAAAAGACAGUAUGACUUCAGAGUGAUAAAUAUAGUAGACUUUAUAAGAGAAUAGUAACAAAGCUAGAAAGAAGCCAAUCUCCUGCUUGCCAAUUCACUAAAGUUUUAUUUCCUACAUGAUAAUUAAAUGCAAUCCUAGUUUAGAAGAUAUUACUAAAAGUAUUGAAUUAAA